AACGAACGCUGGCGGCAUGCCUAACACAUGCAAGUUGAGCGAGAACCUAGAAGCUUGCUUCUAGGGGGCAGCAGCGCACGGGUGAGUAACGCGUGGAUAACGUACCCUGGGGUUUGGGAUAACCCACCGAAAGGUGAGCUAAUACCGAAUGAGUUCCAAUCAGGUUCGCCUGUUUGGAAGAAAGUAGGGCAACCUACGCCCGAGGAUCGGUCCGCGUUCCAUCAGCUUGUUGGUGGGGUAACGGCCUACCAAGGCUACGACGGAUAGCUGGUCUGAGAGGAUGAUCAGCCACACUGGGACUGAGACACGGCCCAGACUCCUACGGGAGGCAGCAGUGGGGAAUAUUGGUCAAUGGGCGAAAGCCUGAACCAGCAAUGCCGCGUGAGUGAUGAAGGCCUUCGGGUUGUAAGCUCUGUCAGUGGGAACGAAUAAGCCGGUUAAUACCCGGUGGUGACGGUACCCAC
rnacentral:rRNA from 1 species